rnacentral:rRNA from 1 species
CGGGGGGUGCGAGCGCUGUCCGGAAUCGACUGGGCGUAAAGGGCGCGUAGGUGGUCUGAUAAGGGUGUGGUGAAAGCCCGGGGCUCAACCCCGGGUCGGCCGUGCCGACUGUUAGACUAGAGUGCUGUAGGGGCAGGCGGAAUUCCGGGUGUAGCGGUGGAAUGCGUAGAGAUCCGGAGGAAGACCGGUGGCGAAGGCGGCCUGCUGGGCAGAUACUGACACUGAGGCGCGACAGCGUGGGGAGCAAACAGGAUUAGAUACCCUGGUAGUCCACGCCGUAAACGAUGGGUACUAGGUGCCUGGGGGAGCGACCCCUUGGGUGCCGGCGCUAACGCAGGAAGUACCCCGCCUGGGGAGUACGACCGCAAGGUUG